AACACAUGCAAGUCGGACGCUCAUCCGGACUUCGGUUUGGGUGGGAGUGGCGCACGGGUGAGUAGCGCGUGGGAACCUGCCCUGUUGUGGGGGAUAACCGAGGGAAACUUCGGCUAAUACCGCAUGCGCCCCGGGGCUUGGUCUUCGGAUUAGGUUUCGGGGGAAAGAUUUAUCGCAGCAGGAGGGGCCCGCGUCGGAUUAGGUAGUUGGUGGGGUAACGGCCCACCAAGCCGGUGAUCCGUAGCUGGUCUGAGAGGAUGAUCAGCCACACUGGGACUGAGACACGGCCCAGACUCCUACGGGAGGCAGCAGUGGGGAAUAUUGGACAAUGGGGGCAACCCUGAUCCAGCAAUGCCGCGUGAGUGAUGAAGGCCUUCGGGUUGUAAAGCUCUUUCGCCCGCGACGAUGAUGACGGUAGCGGGAGAAGAAGCCCCGGCUAACUUCGUGCCAGCAGCCGCGGUAAUACGAAGGGGGCGAGCGUUGUUCGGAAUCACUGGGCGUAAAGGGCGCGUAGGCGGCCCUCCUAGUCGCGUGUGAAAGCCCCGGGCU
rnacentral:rRNA from 1 species